UACGGAGGGUGCAAGCGUUAUCCGGAUUCACUGGGUUAAAGGGUGCGUAGGCGGCGGUAAGUCAGUGGUGAAAUCUCCGAGCUUAACUCGGAAACUGCCGUUGAUACUAUUGUCUUGAAUAUUGUGGGAGGUAAGCGGAAUAUGAUCAUGUAGCGGUGAAAUGCUUAGAUAUGAACAUAGAACACCAAUUGCGAAAGGCA
rnacentral:rRNA from 1 species